rnacentral:rRNA from 1 species
CACCGCCCGUCACACCAUGGGAGUUUGUUGCACCAGAAGCAGGUAGCAUAACCGCAAGGGGGGCGCUUGCCACGGUGUGGCCGAUGACUGGGGUG